CCGUAGCUCAGCUGGAUAGAGCAACGGCCUUCUAAGCCGUGGGUCGGGGGUUCGAAUCCCUCCGGGC
rnacentral:tRNA from 1 species